CCAAGCGAUGGGGUGACGCAGGAAGGUAGCUGGGCCAGUCAGUGGUUGUACUGGUGUAAGAGUGUAGGCCGUGACAUAGGCAAAUCCGUGUCACAUUAAGGCUGAGACUUGAUGCAUACCCGUUGUGGGGAAUUCAGUGAUCCUAUGCUGCCGAGAAAAGCCUCUAGUGAGUUCAUACACGGCCCGUACCCCAAACUGACACAGGUGAUCAGGUAGAGAAUACCAAGGCGAUCGAGAGAACUGUGGUUAAGGAACUCGGCAAAAUGCCCCCGUAACUUCGGGAGAAGGGGGACCAUGCCCGGUGAACAUCUUCACGGUGGGAGCUGGGUGUGGUCGCAGAGACCAGAGAGAAGCGACUGUUUACUAAAAACACAGGUCCGUGCGAAGACGUAAGUCGAUGUAUACGGACUGACGCCUGCCCGGUGCUGGAAGGUUAAGAGGACCGGUUAGCCGUAAGGCGAAGCUGAGAAUUUAAGCCCCAGUAAACGGCGGUGGUAACUAUAACCAUCCUAAGGUAGCGAAAUUCCUUGUCGGGUAAGUUCCGACCUGCACGAAUGGCGUAACGACUUCUCUGCUGUCUCGACCACAGACUCGGCGAAAUUGCACUACGAGUAAAGAUGCUCGUUACGCGCGGCAGGACGAAAAGACCCCGGGACCUUUACUAUAGCUUGGUAUUGGCGUUCGAUUCGGUUUGUGUAGGAUAGGUGGGAGACUGUGAAGCAUGCACGCCAGUGUGUGUGGAGUCGUUGUUGAAAUACCACUCUGAUCGUAUUGGACGUCUAACCUCGGCCCAUGAUCUGGGUUAGGGACAGUGCCUGGUGGGUAGUUUAACUGGGGCGGUUGCCUCCUAAAGAGUAACGGAGGCGCCCAAAGGUUCCCUCAGCCUGGAUGGCAAUCAGGUGUUGAGUGCAAGUGCACAAGGGAGCUUGACUGUGAGACUGACACGUCGAGCAGGGACGAAAGUCGGGACUAGUGAUCCGGCACCGGCAAGUGGAAGCGGUGUCGCUCAACGGAUAAAAGGUACCCCGGGGAUAACAGGCUGAUCUUCCCCAAGAGUCAUAUCGACGGGAUGGUUUGGCACCCCGAUGUCGGCUCGUCGCAUCCUGGGGCUGGAGUAGGUCCCAAGGGUUGGGCUGUUCGCCCAUUAAAGCGGCACGCGAGCUGGGUUUAGAACGUCGUGAGACAGUUCGGUCUCUAUCCGCCGCGCGCGUAAGAAACUUGAGGAAGGCUGUCCCUAGUACGAGAGGACCGGGACGGACGAACCUCUGGUGUGCCAGUUGUUCCACCAGGAGCAUGGCUGGUUAGCUACGUUCGGAAGGGAUAACCGCUGAAAGCAUCUAAGCGGGAAGCCUGUUCCAAGAUGAGGUUUCUCACCACCUUGCGUGGUUAAGGCCCCCUACAGACCAUGGGGUUGAUAGGCCGGAACUGGAAGCGCAGCAAUGCGUGGAGGUGACCGGUACUAAUAGGCCGAGGGCUUACC
rnacentral:rRNA from 1 species